GCAUUAGUUCUAAGAGUUUGUUUUGGUAGAUACCUUGGAAUUUUGAAUUGUGGCAGCCACCUGAACUUUUCAGUGUUGCUGCAAUGGGUGGGUCUUUCUCUGGCCUCCCGAAGCUCUUCACCUUCCCCACCCUGCCACAGGCAAUACUUUCCUUCUCUACUUUUCCUUUCCUAUCUUUUCUAUUACUCAGGGUGACCAUCUUGCCCAGAUACCACGUGUUGAAACUCCAAGUCGGAGUUUGGAUUAAAGAUGUUGGGGCCCAUCUGGGGGCAAAUUUAAGCCUUGCCAGUUUGACAUUGGGUGCUAAGCAGAGUGGCUAACAUCUAUGUUUUAUCACAUGGAUUUUGCUCUGGCCAGAACGAAAAAAAAAUUUUCCUUUAUGAUGCAGCUUGGCCCCCAUGGCUGUGGUGCCACAAGCGAGAUCACUAGGGCCACUCAGGGAAAGGGAACCCAGAAGCCUGGC